rnacentral:misc_RNA from 1 species
CGCACCUUGCACUCCUUGGUAUUCCGAGGAGUAUGCCUGUUUGAGUGUUAUUUUAUUCUCAAUCUAACUUCACUUUGUGAAGCUAGCUUGGACUUGGGGAUUGCUGGCCUAGUGUCUGCUUCCCUUGAAUGCAUUAGUUGAACUGACUUGCAACGCUAUGUGUGGUGUGAUAAUAUCUUCACUGCAUAGUUGUAAUGAAGUCUAACUUCUAAUCGUCCUUUACUGUGACAAACUUGACUAUUACACCUCAAAUCAGGUAGGACUACCCGCUGAACUUAA